GAUUGAUUAUUACCCAUCAAAAGCGCCCGAAUAGCCUCCUUGUGCACUUCGGUUUCUUCCCCCACAAUAAAUAUUUCCUCAAUCCUCACGGUGUGGUGGCUGGAAGAGAAUCUCCCCUUGGACGCCACCUUGGGCGAUGUGAUGCGAGCAGAGCUGCGGUUCCGUCGCCGCCCAGAGAGAACAUUGAGUUGCCCAUCUAAAUCAGCUUGUGUGCACACCAUUUCUCUGCUCUGGACCCUUCUCGUGCCAGAAGCAGUCAUCCCCACCGCUGCGGUGCCCGAUCUAGAAAAUAGUUUGCGUUUCCGCGGGAGGAGCUCGGGAUGGAUAAGCUGGCGGGACGGCAAGCAGGCAUUCACGAUCGCCGCCUGUACCUCUGCUACAAGGGCCUCGAGGAGUGGUCGUCCCAGAUUGAGGCCGACAGCCUUCCCCGCCUCCUCGCUACUGCCAUCAAUCCCAUAAGCGUAACCCGAACAAGAGCGUUCAGUCGGAUCGUGAAGGACAGGUUCCAGAUCUUCUUCCAUAGUUGUCAUGAUUGGAGUUACAAUGGGUAAUGAGAAAAAUAGCUCUUGAAUCAUCAAAUUAGGUGACAAGAUAGUUCACAACAAAGGUUUCAAACUCCUUUGCCAGUGAAGCCAUGACCAGGUGGAUGAGGAGCGCUGGUUUGAUCUCUAGAUCCGCGUCCAUGGGCUUGAGAUUUGCUGCCAUGUUGCUCAUCCUGAGAAUGUGCUCUCUUAUUCCAUGACCACCGCCAGUGUAGUUCUUUGUAACAAGUUGUUUUAUCAACUGGGUGACAUAUGUCUUUGAAGAACCAGUGGACUGACUCUUUAUCUCUGUAAGCAUCUUCCCCGCGGAAGUGCACUCCCAUGCGGCACCAUCAUCACUGGCCUCUCUGACUGGCUUUGUAGGUCUAAAGGGAUGUGGUUCCUCUAGAACCUAGUCCACCUCAGCACACACAAAUGCCAUGUCUACUUUCUUCCUCCACUCAGUGUAGUUGUCACCUCUGAGUGUCGGAACAUCUUUUAGGCAAUACUACCUCUUGAGCUUGCGUUGGUUUUUCCCUUGAA